GAUUAACGCUGGCGGCAUGCCUAAUACAUGCAAGUCGAACGGAAGCAGCAAUGCUUUAGUGGCGAACGGGUGAGUAACACGUAGGGAACCUACCUAUACGACGAGGAUAACUACUGGAAACGGUAGCUAAAACUGGAUAGGAUCAAUUGAGGCAUCUUGAUUGAUUUAAAGAUCCUUCGGGAUUACGUAGAGAUGGCCCUGCGGCGCAUUAGCUAGUUGGUGAGGUAACGGCCCACCAAGGCGACGAUGCGUAGCUGACGCUGAGAGGCUAAACAGCCACACUGGGACUGAGACACGGCCCAGACUCCUACGGGAGGCAGCAGUAGGGAAUUUUCGGCAAUGGGGGAAACCCUGACCGAGCAAUGCCGCGUGAACGAUGAAGGUCUUCGGAUUGUAAAGUUCUGUGAUUGGGGAAGAAUGGUAUUCUUAGGGAAUGAGGAGUACAUGACGGUACCCGAUUAGAAAGCCCCGGCUAACUAUGUGCCAGCAGCCGCGGUAAUU
rnacentral:rRNA from 1 species